CUCCUGCCUCAGCCUUCCAGAGUGGUGGGAUUAUAGGUGUGUACCAUUCACAUUUAAAAAGCACAAUUCAGUGGCUUGGAGUAUAUUAACAGAAUUGUGCAGCCAUCAUCAAUAAAUUUUAGAAUGUUUUCAUCACCUCAAAAAGAAGGCCCAUGCCCUUUAGCAGUCAUCCUGCCCACCCCAAUCUUCCAUUGCCGCCAACCCUAAGCAACCAUGAAUCUACUUCCUGUCUCUGUGAAUUUGCUUUUUCUGAACAUUUCCUAUAAAUGGGAUCAAACAGCCUUGGGUCCUUUGGGUCCGGCUUCUUGUUUAGGGUCUGAUAUUGCCAGGGUCCGGCCAUGUUGUAGCAUGUAUGAGGACUUCUUUCUUUUUCAUGACUGAGCAUCAACCUAACGUAUGGAUGGACGGACCAUAUUUUGUUUCUCCAUUUGGCAACUGAUGGGCUGUUUCUACUCUGGGGCUAUUAGGAAUAAUGCAGCUAUGAGUAUUCACGUAUGUUCUUGUGCAGACGUACAUUUCUGUUGGGCAUAUAGCUCAGAGUGGACAUGCUGGGUCAUGCAACAGCUCAAUGUUUAACGUUUGGUGGAACCACCUCUUUCAACUUUGUAUUUGGGACAUUUCCCACUGUACUUGAGAGUAGAGAAACUUUCGUAAUGUGCACCAGGUACCCAUUGUCCAGAUUCGACAAUGAUCAGCCUUUUGCCUAUCUUUUUCCCUCUGCCUUCUCUCUUCCUUUGUCUCCCACUGAGUAUCUUAUUCAGGCACUGCAUUUCAUGUUGUCCCAGCUGAGAGGCCAACAUUUUCUUUUAUCCCAAACCUUCAUUUGGAGUAGCCCAUAGCCACAUUCUUGUGUGAAUGGAAUUUGGGGGAAUGGAGGAGUUGGUCAGACUCCAGAGUGGUCAUGGUGUGGGAGGGGAGCAGCCCCUGAGUGAGGCAGGAUUAGCUAUACAAUUUGCAGGAUCUGGGUGAAAGGAACAUGUGGAACUCUUUGUUAAGAAGUUAAAGAUGGCAGAGCAUUAAAUCAAGCAUGGGCCUCAUGUAGCUGUAUAGGUUCUCUGCCCAUGAUGUCAGCCCAGCCCUUCAACCAGCGAAAAGGUGCCCAAGCAGAACUGGUUCAGCAGAUGCAGCAAUUUAGAACCUUGGAUACUGGGAGCAACAUAAACACCCCUCACCCUCAAUCUCUGGGAAGGUUCCAAGGGAAGUUGGGAAUGGUGUAGCAUAUGGGGCAAGAUGUAAACCCAUUUCAUUUUAAUCUCCAAAAAUAAGAUGACCCCAGCUGACAUGGGGGUUAUAAGCACUUAAAACAAUAAUCGUUUGUUGUAUGCCUUCUUCCUUGAGAGCUCACGGUUGUUUUAUUUGGCCACUCCAUUUUGUCCUGGGUUCUGAGUGUACUCUGAUAUCCCUGCAAAAGAUAGGGCUGCAGUCUUAAGAGCAGACACCCGCUGGGUUCCAAACAGCCCAGAGCUGUAGGGACCCAGGGUGCCCAACAGUAGCAGGUGGCCAUGGUAGACAUGGCUGCCAUUGAUGGCAACCAGUUCCUCCCAGCUCAGACACAGUUCCCACCAACCCAGGUGCCUCCUACUCCGUGUUUACCUAGGCUCAGCCCAAGGAUUCAUAAUCUUCUCCAACACCAAAGAUCCAGAGCCCCCUGUAUGGUUCAGGAUGAUGCCAGGGUGCAUUAUAUCAAGUGUCUUGUCAUGAAAGGGUAUACAGUACACGGCAAAAGGUGCCAGGGGUGGGCCUUGGUGAGAACAGGAAGGACAGCAUAGCUCUCCUGUUGGCCAAGGGGAGUUCACUCAUUCGUUCAGCCACUUGCUACCUACUGCACUUAAGGGCCUAUGGACUGGGCAAAAGCAAAACAGCAAUCAGCUGGGUAGACCUCUUCCACCACUCCACUGUCCUGACAAGCAGGUAAUAAAAAGAACAUUGUUAUAUUAUUUUGCUCAAUCUCCGAGUGUAGAAAUGGAAAUAAUUUUUAUCACACCAUUUUAUGUUUUUUCUUUUUUGGAGUGCUGGGUACUGAAUCCAACACCUCACAUGUGCUAGGAUGGCUCUAUCACUGAGCCACAUCCUCAGCCCUUACCCAGAUUUAAAAAAUGAUAUCUUACUUAUGGUAAGAAAAAUAAUGCAAGAGAGAGUAAGAUAAGAAAUAAAGGCAGGGCUGGGGAUUUAGCUCAGGGGUUCUGCCACCUGCCUCAAAAGUGCAAGGACCUGAGUUCGAUCCCCGGUACCAAAAAAAGCAAAAACAAAAGAAAUAAAGGGGUCCCUUUGCAAUUUUUCUGUAGCUUUGACCUCACUUUCUAAGAAGUAACCACUGUGUGCAGUUUUCACAGUCUUUGUACGUGUUGUAAGCGUGGUCAAAGUCACGGGGCUGUUGCUGAGGAGGUUAAGGGUGCCACAAUACACCCUGAGGACAGAACACCUCUCAGACCCACAUCACUCUUUUCAAUCACGUCCAGCAUCCCACUGCGCUUACUUACCCUGGCCCCUGCUGGCCAACGUUUGCAUUAACUCCAGGAUUUUGCCUUUAGCGUGCAUACGCACUUUGGCACAUGGCCAACUGCACUUUGUAGGACAAAUUCCUAGAAGUGGAAUUUCUCCAUCGGAGGAUAAACGUAUUUUGGAUUUCUACAGCGAUUGCCCAGUGCCCCUCAAACAGGCUACGAUUCACAAGCCCCUCAGCCUCGUGUGUGUGAGGGUGCCUGGUUCUGACAUACUUUUGCACCCCAGAAGGGCACAGUGUGGCAGGGGAAGCGGAUUCCCAGUGAGAGAUCUGCCAGAAAUGUUGGUGAAUGAAAUGUGGAUGGAUGGCAUCAAGGCCAGAGGAUGCAAAAGGCCCUAGUUUUGAUAAAAAAAAGAAAAAAAAGAAAAAGAAAAAGCCAGCUUGGCUUGGCACCCUCCUUCCUGCCAGUCAGGGGACUGCAAAGCUGUUUCCAGAGCGCGGCUGAUGAAUUGAGGGAGGAGCAACAGGACAGUGCCAGUCGCCUCUCAGGGCUGCGCUAACAUAAAACCAAACAACUUGAAACUGUUCCAAGGGAGCGGAUUAAGGCAACAUGUUAUUCUGAGUGAUUGCUUAAUUUAUUGAGCUGCGGCUAGAUCUGUAAUGAAAUACAGCCCUUGUAACUGAUCACCUCCUACUGCAAUUGGACUUCUACAAUUAAGGGAUAUUUUCCCAGAGUUUCUCUCGAAGUGCCUGGAAUUUGUGGCCUCUGUGGUGGGGUGCUUCUGGCCGCGCAUGCUCCAGGCAAGCUUUUUUUUGGUUUGUUUUAAAGAGCAGCAGGUUGAUGUUAAUAAAGAAAAUAAGCAGCAUUUUACUGAGUGCCAUGUGUACAGCAGGUGGCUUAUAUACAUUUGCUCUGACCCCCUCCAUUUCCCAGUGAAAUAACCCUCACUAUUCCGUUUUACAUGGGAAGACAUGAGACAUGAGGGAAUUUUUUAGAGCAAGGCCCUCUAAGCCACACGUGACUAUUCGUGUCAAUUAGGUCAAGUUGAUUGCGUCUGAAAACGCACCCUUUGGGGUGCAUGAGCAAUGAGUUCAAGUGCCAACCCUGCCAGACUGGGGGGCUGGUGGCCACCAUAUUGGAUGGUGUGCAUAUAACUCGUUUUGAUGAUUAUAGAUCUAUUGCUCCGAGGUUGGUUCUAUAGAUCCAGAGAUUUCAUGGCAAGAAAUGGGCAGCUUCAGAAUUCAAAGCCCUAGUUAAUGGGCUUUGACCGUAAAGCUUGUCUGCCACCCCUUACUUCCUUCUCCCGCACCAGGGACCCUCAGCCAGGCUGCGUGUUAAAAUUACCUGGAUCUUUCGGGUUGUUUUUAUUUUUGUUUGAGACAAGGUCUCACUAUGUAAUUCAGGCUGGCCUUGAACUCAUGCUGAUCCUCCUCCCUCAGUCUCCCAAGUGCUGGGAUUACAGUCAUGGAAUGGGGUGGGGGGACCUUUGCUUGUAGAAUAGCCUUUGUUACACUGUCAUGGAAGAAGCUAGAUAUAUCAUGGAGAUGACGUGAGAACCCUGUAGCUCCAAAUUGAAUUAGCAGCAUCAGGAGGAACGCAGGCACUCUCUCUCUCACUUUAUAAAGUGGAGCAUGGGGUUGCAGGUUCUGUCCACUGAGGUUAGAGACCACGACCAGUCACAGCGAGGACCCAGCACCAGGGUACGGUCCCUAAACACCUCUUUUAAUCAGCAUUCAAGGCCCCCUGGGCAAAUGGCCAAUUCCACAUCUGAGCCAAGAAAUGUUCCAGUGAGCCUGAGAUGUCUUUGUUUGUUUGUUUGUUUGGCUUUUGAGCCAGGGCCUUCCUUCCUUUAUAGUUUAGGCUGGCUUCGAACUGACUCCGGAGCCCAGGGUGGCCUCAAAUUCACGGCAGUCCUCCUGCCUCCAGCUCCUGAGUGCUGGGAUUUACAGGCCUGCGACACCACACCCAGCUGAGCCUUGACUAUCUUGUCACUGGGAAGCAGGAAAGCUGUUUCAACUGCUGGAGUCACAUCUGAAAGGAUGCAGGAGACAGCAUGAAAAGAUUCUCAUUGGCCAAAAAUGACAAUUUGAGCAUUAUUAGGAAUACUAACUAUAGCCAGAUGUGGUGGCACUCUGGGAGGCUGACGCAGGAGGAUUACAAGUUUGACCCCAGCCUAGGUAAUUUAACAACUUAAGACUCUGUCUCAAAAUAAAAAAUAUUAUAAAAGGGCUACACAUGUAGCUCAGUGCAAAGGCCCUGGGUUCAACCCAUAGUUGAACCAAAUAAUGAUAAUAAUAAUAAUAAUAAUAAUGCAAACCAAAUAAUAAUAAUAAUAAUUACAGUGUAUUAAACAUUUCAACUUCAUGUCCAAACAAUGAGUUCACCAUGAUGCUGGAGCACAAGAAAAACAUAAACUUACUCAUCACCAAGCCUGCAUUUUGGAAACUGUCAAAGGAAAAGAAUCUAGCAUUUGGGCCGAGGAUUUAGCUCUGUGGUUCCACUGCCUGCCUUGCAAGUGCAAGGUCCCAAGUUCGAUCCUCAGUACCAAAAAAAAAAAAAAAAAGAAUCUAGCAUUUGUCCUUUUUGGAUGACCCAUACUCUAUGGAAGCCAAGCGAUGGAUAAAAUGGUAUGCUUUAUAGAAGUAUUUCCACUAACCAAGACAGACAGAGAUUAGGAUGCCACUGGUUUUUAGUCUCUAGGGGAGUGACAGGUCUGGACAGUGAUCAGCAGCAGCUAACAUCACAGAGGAAAAUCAGGUCUUGACCUCCAAAUCAGCUACUAGGAAGCAGACAAAAAAAUGCAUCUUUGUGAGCUUCCAGAUUGAACUAGCAAUACAGGAGGGAGAGGAGCAGAUAUAACACCUUUAUGAGGAUGCAAUAAGCAAAAUCCAGACUAUAGGACACAUCAUAGAGCAUCCAACCCAGUUUCUUCAGUAAACUGUAGGGAAAGAGAAAGGAAGAUGAAAGAGAGGUGUACGAGACACAGCAACCAAUCACAAUAUAUGAGCUUUAUUUGCAUCCUGAUCUUACCCAGUUGUGAGAAAACAUUUAAAAGAAAGCUAGAUAAAUGUGAAUCCUGACCAGAUAUAGUAUUUGCUGAUAUUAAAAGAUUUACUGUUUUUUGUGGGGUUUUUUUUGGUACCAGGGAUCAAACUCAGGACCUUGCACUUUCGAAGCAGGCACUGGAACCACUGAGCUAAAUUCCCAGCCCCCUUUACUGUUAAUUUCAAUAGUGGUAAUGGUAGUAAAAAACCCCCAAAACCUAAUUAUCAGCUGGGCAUGGUGGCACACACCUGUAAUCCCAGCACUCUGGGAGGCCGACACAUGUGAGUCUCAGGUUUGAGCCCAUCCCGGGCAACUUAGCAAGACAGUGUCUCCAACAAAACGAAACAAAAAAUACCCUACUUCUUUCUUGGGAGUUAUCUUUGGAAAUAUUUGCCAAAGAAAUGAUUGAUAUCUGGAUUUCCUUAUGAAGGGGAAGGAAGUGCCAUGGAACAAGAUUGGCCCAGGGUUAGUGACUGCUGUAGCUGGCUUUGCGGUACCAGAUGCUCUAUUCCUAUGUGUGCUUGAAGCUUUUCAUAAUAAAAAAAAAAAA